GAUGAACGCUGGCGGCGUGCCUAAUACAUGCAAGUCGAGCGAACAGACGAGGAGCUUGCUCCUCUGACGUUAGCGGCGGACGGGUGAGUAACACGUGGAUAACCUACCUAUAAGACUGGGAUAACUUCGGGAAACCGGAGCUAAUACCGGAUAAUAUAUUGAACCGCAUGGUUCAAUAGUGAAAGACGGUUUUGCUGUCACUUAUAGAUGGAUCCGCGCCGCAUUAGCUAGUUGGUAAGGUAACGGCUUACCAAGGCAACGAUGCGUAGCCGACCUGAGAGGGUGAUCGGCCACCCUGGAACUGAGACACGGUCCAGACUCCUACGGGAGGCCGCAGUAGGGAAUCUUCCGCAAUGGGCGAAAGCCUGACGGAGCAACGCCGCGUGAGUGAUGAAGGUCUUCGGAUCGUAAAACUCUGUUAUUAGGGAAGAACAAAUGUGUAAGUAACUAUGCACGUCUUGACGGUACCUAAUCAGAAAGCCACGGCUAACUACGUG
rnacentral:rRNA from 1 species